AUUGAACGCUGGCGGCAUGCCUUACACAUGCAAGUCGAACGGUAACAGGUCUUCGGAUGCUGACGAGUGGCGAACGGGUGAGUAAUACAUCGGAACGUGCCUAGUAGUGGGGGAUAACUACUCGAAAGAGUGGCUAAUACCGCAUGAGAUCUACGGAUGAAAGCAGGGGAUCGCAAGACCUUGUGCUACUAGAGCGGCCGAUGGCAGAUUAGGUAGUUGGUGGGAUAAAAGCUUAACAAGCCGACGAUCUGUAGCUGGUCUGAGAGGACGAGCAGCCACAGUGGGACUGGGACACGGCCCAAAAUCCAUCGGGAGGCAGCAGUGGGGAAGUUUGGACAAUGGGCGCAAGCCUGAUACAGGAAUGCCGCGUGCAAGAUGAAGGCCUUCGGGUUGUAAACUGCUUUUGUACGGAACGAAAAGCCCUAGGUUAAUACCCUGGGGUCAUGACGGUACCGUAAGAAUAAGCACCGGCUAACUACGUGCCAGCCGCCGCCGUAAAAC
rnacentral:rRNA from 1 species